AUUGAACGCUAGCGGCAGGCCUUACACAUGCAAGUCGAACGAGUGGCGGACGGGUGAGUAAUGUCUGGGAACGUGCCUGUUGGAGGGGGAUAACUACUGGAAACUGUAGCUAAUACCGCAUACUAUCGGAUGUGCCCAUAUGGGAUUAGCUAGUCGGUGGGGUAAAGGCUCACCUAGGCAACGAUCCCUAGCUGGUUUGAGAGGAUGACCAGCCACACUGGGACUGAGACACGGUCCAGACUCCUACGGGAGGCAGCAGUGGGGAAUAGUGCACAAUGGGCGAAAGCCUGAUGCAGCCAUGCCGCGUGUAUGAAGAAGGCCUUGGGGUUGUAAAGUACUUUCAGAGGGGAGGCGUUACCCGCAGAAGAAGCACCGGCUAACUCCGUGCCAGCAGCCGCGGUAAUUC
rnacentral:rRNA from 1 species